GCAAACUGUUCCAACAUGGAAGGGUGUAAAACAGUUGCUGUACUCAACAUCAUCGCCUAUCCUACCUACAUUCCAGCUCUGAACUCCCAAAAGGGGGGAGGAAGAAGCAGAAGCAGCAGCAACAGCAGCUGGCUAGCUUCAAAGGUCUCUCAGGUAGCCAAACCUGACACGGUUGCUCUUACCCAUACACAAAAAAAGGAUACAUGCAGCUGAACAUACUCAGCUCUAGCCACCAAAAACACACACUCGCCAAUGUGACUCUAACUAAUGGAAGCCCUGACCAGGUGCGCUGACCGCACCGUACCGACCAGGCGCGCACGCUUUUUUGGCUGACUGUACCACCUAGUUACGUCAAUUAUAACUACGCGUUAUGCUCAAUCUUGUUACGUUUUACACACUUUUGGUGUGCGCAUGUUUCGCGGCAUCCGGGCCCACGAAAAGAUCGUGUCCCCGCAACCUGGGCAGCUUACGUCUAUCGGGCCCACGAAUCAAGGAACCGAGCACUCAUUUUUUCAGCUCAUCUCUCCCGUAACUCUCGCGGCGGCCGAACCCUAGCGUCUGCGUCCUUGCCCAGCCGCCGGCCACCACCUCCAUCCUCGCUCAGAUCCGUCUGCGUCCUCGCCCCCUCUGAACUCGCCCAGCCGACGGGCACCGGUGAUGCGUCCGCGUCCUUGCCCCCUCCGGGCUUGCCCAGCCGCCGGGCACCGGCGACCCGUUCGCACCCUCGCCCCCUCCGGACUCGCCCGGCCAGCCGCCGACAACCAGCGAUCCAUCCACGCCCUCGCCCGCUCCGGACCACGCCCGCGCCGCCUCCGCGCCCUACGAACUUCCCGUCACGGGCUCGUACACCGUUUCUGUCUUCCUCGAGAAGGGCUUCCUCUCCAUCCCCGGGUUCAUCCUCGCCGGCGACAACCUCAUCGCCAAGUGCCCCUCCUGGUUCUGGUGCAUUCUUUACUCAUCUCGCCCUGCUCUUGUGAUUUUUAUUCCUAAAUACGUCUUUUAUGCUAAUUUGAAUGUGUUAUUAUGCUCAAUUACCAGAUCUCGUGUACGCUCCGCAUUAUAAACACGUAGACCACCAGUUCUAUAUCAUUUUUAUGUUCUUUUGGUAAAUACGUAGAUCCAAGUUAUAUUUCCCCUAAAUAAACUGGACAAACCUUGGAGCAACUACAUGAUUUAUAUAAAUAAGAUAUAGGCACCCCAAUUCUGUAUCGGCUAUAACUCUGAUUUGGGUAGUCUGUGUGUACAUCCACACUUUCAAUCAGCUCAGUUGUCGCGACCCUCUAUCAGUUAUGAUAAUGUGUUUUGAAGAUGCUUGAAUGGUUUCUUGGUUUUCUGGAAUCGGAAUAAUUGUUCAAACUUUUAUUAGCAUGGUGUAACCUAAUUUGAUCAAUUUUGAGGAAUUAUUGCCUCUCCUAAUAGACUUUUGCAUCUUUCAUGUAUGUGUACAGGUUCAAUUAUCAAUACUAUUUUUAGUUGUGAUCGUCAGUGCCGUAUGCUAUAGUAGAUAGACUUUUACUAAUUACUACUAUUUAUGAUCACUGCCUGAUUCUAAUUUUCUAAACAUUUCUUUGCUGGAAUUUGAGAGGGCCUUCAUUGAUUUCUAUAACUCAAUAUUGCAUAAAAAUGAAACCGUUUUUCAAGUAAUUGGAUGGAGAGGGGCUUAUAGCCAUAUGCAUCUGUUUGUUUGCAUAGUCUAAAACUGAAGUGAACUUAGGUAAGCAGGAGAUUCAGUGUAGCAUGGCUUUAGAUUAAGGAUUCAGAUGAAAAGAGAGCUGAGUUUUAAUGUAGCAGGGUGUGUAUAUUUGCACCUUUUCGUCGUAAUCUGAUCUUCUAACUCAAGAGAUUUUUCUUUUGGUAAUCUGAUCUUCUAACUCAUGUGUGCAUUCAGUUUAGACUGUAGGUUAUGUUAGUCAUAACAAGCUAGAAAAGAUGAUCAUAUUAACAAGAAAAGAUCAUAUUAACAGUUCAUGUUACGUUUGCAGAUAUGGACCUCGAUGGUUUUCUCCACAUUAGGAAAGCUAGAAGAGCCUUUUGAACUCACUUUUUUGCUAACAAUGGUGUUACGGUGGAACAUAGUUUUGCGUGUAUGUACCAACAACUAAAAUGUAAACACGACAUUAUCAUAGUUGAGUACAGGAAUAAUUAUCUCUUAUAUCUUAUUGUAAAAUCUAAAACAGUUCUCCUGUAGAUGGUUAGCUUGCAUUUUACGCCACAAUUACCUCAGAUCACUUCUUGUUGUAUUUACUCCAAUUUACGAUAUUUCUUGAUGCAUUUUAUGACAACCUCGUGCGCAGAGAGGUAUAUUCGGUCUACAUUCGUUAUUAUGAAACAUAUGAAUGAUUUACGCUAAAAUUCGUACUCAUUUACGUUGUUUUGGUUCACGUUUUACGCAUAAAUCCGUCCGAGCCAAACCCCGCGUACGUCCGGUGACGCGUGAUUUUCGCGCCGUAAAUUUCGGCUCCAUUCGCCAUUACGAAACAGAUAUACGAUUUACGCUAACAUUCGUACUAAUUUAUGAUGUUUAGGUUCACGUUCACUCUAAAAUCCAUUCGAGCCAGAACCUGCGCACUCGGCCGCACAUAAUUUUCACGCCGUAAUCUCGGGACCUAUUUGUUGUUACGAAACAGAUAAAUGAUUUACGCUAAAUUUCGUAUUAAUUUACGUUGUUUUAGCUCACGUUUUACGCUGGAAUCCGCCCGAGCCAGAACCCGCGCACGAUCGGCUGCACACAAUUUUCACGCCGUAAUUUUAGGCUUCAUUUGCUGUUACAAAACAUAUAUAAGAUUUACGCUAAAUUCUGUACUCAUUUACGCUGUUUUAGCUCACGGUUUACGCUGGAAUCGGCCCGAGCAAGGACCCGCGCACGAUCGGUUGCACGCGAUUUUCACGCCGUAAUUUUAGGCCCCGUUUGCUGUUACAAAACAGAAAUAGGAUUUACGCUAAAUUUCGAACUCAUUUACGCUGUUUUAGCUCACGGUUUACGCUGGAAUCCGCCCGAGCCAGAACCAGAACCACAUACUGCAUGAUUUAUGCUGUCAAGUACAUGUCAUUAUGCAGUCGUAAACGUUGUCCACAGUGUCAUAUUCAUUCCACGUGUUUCGGGCGUCAAAAGAUUCCUUUAUGCAUGGUUUACGCAUCUUUAUCCAUAUAUAUAUGCAUUCGUAUAUUGCCUUACGCGCUUAUCGUUCAGGAUUCCUGGCUGUUGACUGCAUGGCUGCGCGGGUGCUGAGUUGACCGCGUCCUGGCUGGGGCUUCCAUUAGUAGGGGAAGCCCAGGGCUUCCAUUACCUCUUCCCUAUAUAUAUAUAUAGUAUAUGUAUUUAGAGCCCUAGGCUCUAUUUAACUAUAGGAAGCCCCGACCACGUACCGACCAGGUGCGCGACCGCACCGGACCCUUUUUGGCUUAUUGUACCUAACUGCUUACGCCAAAAUAUAAUACGAGUUAUGCUGAUGUGUGUAUCAGUUUAUGCAAAUAUAGUCUGCGCAUAUUACGUGCAUCGGGCCCACGAUCCGGCCCACGCCACCACUAUAAAAACACCCCCACGCCGCCAGAAAUUAGGUUUUAGCGGCGGCGGCGGUUCUCUAGGGCGUGCGAGCGGCGGUGAUCCUGGGGCCAGCAGCGGUGUCACCUCGAGGCAGGCGACCGACGGCGGCGCUCCACCAGGAACGAGCGACAACGACGCUCCGAGGCAGGCAAGCAAGCGGUGACGGCGCUCUUGAAGCGGACGGACGACGGCAGCGCACCCUAGGCCCGGUGACAACGGCGGUUGUCCCGUCCGUCUCUGCGAUGGCCACCGCCACCGCCGCUCCAGCAUCUGUGGCGCGACGACGGAUCUGGGGACACGCUCGCGACGGCGGAUCCCUGAGGCGCGACGGCGGAUCUGGGGACACGCUCGCGAUGGCGGAUUCCUGUGGCGCGACGGCGAAUCUAGGGACACGCUGCGGCAUCGGAUCCCGAGGGCACGCACGCUGCGGCGGCCCCAUGAGGUGCGCACGACGGCGAUGUGCCAGCGGUCGCGACGGCGGAUUUCCCUAGGCGCUAGCGACGACGGCAUCCUCCCUAGGCACGAAGUGGUGGCGCAUCCCAGAUGCGAGGCGCUGGUUCCGCAGGACGGCGAUCCUAUUUUAUGCUAUUUUGUAUACAUAUUUAUGCCAAUGUCAAUAGGAUUAUAUGACCUAUAUUUCAGUUCAUGGAUCCGCUUCCAUCUAUUUGUCUGUUUCUGAUAUUUCUAUUCAUUUACGCUAAAAUUUAUACUCAUUUACGCUGUUUUGGUUCACGAUUUACACUUAAAUCCGCUCGAGCCAGAACCCGUCAUUUACGAUGUUUUGGUUCACGAUUUACACUUAAAUCCGCUCGAGCCAGAACCCGCGCACGAUUUUUACGCCGUAAUUUGUCCCCAUUUGUCGUUACGAAAUCAAUCGAUGAUUUACGCUAAAAUUCAUACUCAUUUACGCUGUUUUGGUUCACGUUUUAUGCCGAAAUCCGCCCGAGACAGCGCCUGUGGCGAUUUUCAUGCCGUAAUUCGAGACCCAUUUGUCGUUACGAAACAGAUCGAUAAUUUACGCUAAAAUUUGUACUCAUUUACGCUGUUUUGGUUCACGUUUUACGCUAAAAUCCACCCGAUCCAGAACCCGCGCACGAUCGGGUGCACACGAUUUUUACGCCGUAAUUUUAGGCUCCGUUUGCUGUUACAAAACAGAUAUAGGAAUUACGCUAAAUUUCGUACUCAUUUACGCUGUUUUAGCUCACGUUUUACGCUGGAAUCCGCCCGAGCCAGAACCCGCGCACGAUCGGCUGCAUGCGAUUUUUACGCCGUAAUUUUAGGCCUCGUUUGCUGUUACAAAACAAAUAUAAGAUUUACGCUAAAUUACGUACUCAUUUACGCUGUUUUAGGUCACGUUUUACGCUGCAAUCCGCUCGAGCCAGAACCAGAUCGAGCGCGCGUAGAUAUACCUGACUGGGGCUUCCCAUACUAAUGGAAGCCCAGGGCUCCCAUUACCAUCACCCUAUAUAUAUAUAUAUUGGUGUAAGAUACAACAAGAAGUGAUCUGAGGUAAUUGUAGCGUAAAAUGCAAGCUAACCAUCUACAGGAGAACUGUUUCAGAUUUUACAAUAAGAUAUAAAAGAUAAUUAUUCCUGUACUCAGCUAUGAUAAUGUCGUGUUUACAUUUUAGCUGUUGGUACAUACACACAAAACUCGGUUUCACCAUAACACCACUGUUAGCAAAAAAACUGAGUUCAAAAGGCUCUUCCAGCUUUCCUAAUGUGGAGAAAACCACUGAGGUCCAUAUCUGCAAACGUAACAUGAACUGUUAAAAUGAUCUUUCCUUGUUAAUAUGUCUUUUCAAGCUUGUUAUGACUAACAUAACCUAAAGUCUAAACUGAAUGCAAACUUGAGUUAGAAGAUCAUAUUACCUAUAGCACAAAUGUCAUGUUAUUCUGACUAUUUUAGGACCAACAAACCAUUUGGAAGCCAAACAAAUCCCUGUUCAAUUUGCCUCAAAGCAACAUACAAGAAAUUACAUAGUCAGCUUCUGAAUACGUGCACUGCUCUUAAAUGAAGAAAACUGGAGCCAGGCAAAAAAAUAAGUGAAACUAUACCCACAAAUAACCCAGUGAAAUCAUAAAGCUAAGGGUGCACAUGGAUCGGACACAAUCGUAUAUCACUAAUAUUACAUUUGUUUCCAGAUUUCUAUUCGGAUUUGAAUAUGGAUAGUAUCAACUAGCUAUGUCGGAUAGGAUACAAAUGGAUAUCGACAUCAUAAACAGAUUUAUUUGUUCUGAUAUGGAUGCGGUAUCGGAUGUUAAACAUCUAGACUCAAAUACGAACGGAUCUGAACUCCUCUAAACAAAUUCUAUGGUUAGAAAAUAUAUUCCAGCAGAAACCCACAACCUCGGAACCCCAAACAGCCCUUGCGGAUGGAAAUCCACAAACCAGAUCCGAAGCUCCCGAACCCCGCCAGCUGCCUUAAGCGCAGAAAACCCCCAAAUCGUAACCCCAUCAAACGUAGAUUCCACAAAAUCCACACCCGUCACUAGAGAGACAAGAAAGAGGAAUCACAGAGAAUUGCCAAUGGACCUCGAUGCAGACGGCGGUCGGCAUCUGGCCAAUGGAGCUCGGUGCAGGCGGUGACGCAGGGAUGCCCGGAGCUGGAUUCUUGGUCGGUGAUGGCGCGGGAGCAGGAGAGGGUGUCGGAGAUGGCAUCGCGGAGGAGAUAUUGGGGCUGGCGCUGGGGUCGGACGAGGAGGCAGAGUAACCGGGGGGCACUGCCGCGUCGAGCCAACGCCGGAGAGCCCCCGUGGUGGCGAGCAGCAGAGCAGGAGAUCCGGACGCCGGUGGCCGGUGCCUAGGCAGCUGGCCGAGUCUGCGAAUCACCGAGUCUGGAGAGGGCGAGGGGCGAACAGAUCUGGGCUAGGAGGCACCUCUGGAACGAUGACAGGGAGGCGAUCGCCAUGGAUCUCGUCUAUGGGAUGCUUGUCCGCCGUGCUCGCUCGUGUCGCGCAACAGCCGCCACUGAAACCCUAGUCUCAGCCAUCGCGCGGAAGGCCAGGUAGAGCGGUUGGUUUUAUACAAUGGUACAUGAGCGUAAACUUGUGUAUAACUAAGCGUAAACAUUAUAGUGGGUGGACCGGAUGGUCGCCUGGUCAACCGAGCGGGUGGUUGGAGCUUCCUGUAGUUAAAAAGAGCCCAGGGCUCUAAAUACUAUAUAUAUAUAUAUAUAUAUAUAUAUAUAUAUAUAUAUAUAUAUAUAUAUAUAUAUAUAUAUAUAUACAUAUAUAUAUAUAUAUGCAAACUGUUCCAACAUGGAAGGGUGUAAAACAGUUGCUGUACUCAACAUCAUCGCCUAUCCUACCUACAUUCCAGCUCUGAACUCCCAAAAGGGGGGAGGAAGAAGCAGAAGCAGCAGCAACAGCAGCUGGCUAGCUUCAAAGGUCUCUCAGGUAGCCAAACCUGACACGGUUGCUCUUACCCAUACACAAAAAAGGAUACAUGCAGCUGAAAAUACUCAGCUCUAGCCACCAAAAACACACACUCGCCAAUGUGACUCCGCGCAUCCUUUUUC
rnacentral:lncRNA from 1 species